UGGGGAAUAUUGGACAAUGGGCGAAAGCCUGAUCCAGCCAUGCCGCGUGUGUGAAGAAGGUCUUCGGAUUGUAAAGCACUUUAAGUUGGGAGGAAGGGCAGUUACCUAAUACGUAUCUGUUUUGACGUUACCGACAGAAUAAGCACCGGCUAACUCUGUGCCAGCAGCCGCGGUAAUACAGAGGGUGCAAGCGUUAAUCGGAAUUACUGGGCGUAAAGCGCGCGUAGGUGGUUUGUUAAGUUGGAUGUGAAAUCCCCGGGCUCAACCUGGGAACUGCAUUCAAAACUGACAAGCUAGAGUAUGGUAGAGGGUGGUGGAAUUUCCUGUGUAGCGGUGAAAUGCGUAGAUAUAGGAAGGAACACCAGUGGCGAAGGCGACUUGCUGGGCUUGUAGUGACGCUGAGACGCGAAAGCGUGGGGAGCAAACAGGAUUAGAUACCCCCGUAGUCCCUGAGCGGGCUGGCAAGGCGCAU
rnacentral:rRNA from 1 species